UACGGAGGGGGCUAGCGUUGUUCGGAAUUACUGGGCGUAAAGGGCGCGUAGGCGGCACGACAAGUCGGAAGUGAAAGCCCGGGGCUCAACCCCGGAAUGUCUUUCGAAACUGUCGAGCUAGAGUGCGGAAGAGGCAACUGGAAUUCCCAGUGUAGCGGUGAAAUGCGUAGAUAUUGGGAAGAACACCUGAGGCGAAGGCGGGUUGCUGGGCCGACACUGACGCUGAGGCGCGAAAGCCAGGGGAGCAAACGGG
rnacentral:rRNA from 1 species